GUGAGGAAUAUUGGUCAAUGGACGAGAGUCUGAACCAGCCAAGUAGCGUGAAGGAUGACUGCCCUAUGGGUUGUAAACUUCUUUUAUAAGGGAAUAAAGUGAGGGACGUGUCCCUUUUUGUAUGUACCUUAUGAAUAAGGAUCGGCUAACUCCGUGCCAGCAGCCGCGGUAAUACGGAGGAUCCAAGCGUUAUCCGUAUUUAUUGGGUUUAAAGGGAGCGUAGGUUGACAUAUAAGUCAGCUGUGAAAGUUUACGGCUCAACCGUGAAAUUGCAGUUGAUACUGUAUGUCUUGAGUGUACAAGAGGUGGGCGGAAUUCGUGGUGUAGCGGUGAAAUGCUUAGAUAUCACGAAGAACUCCAAUUGCAGAGGCAGCUCACUGGGGUACAACUGACACUGAGGCUCGAAAGUGUGGGUAUCAAACAGGAUUAGAAACCCCAGUAGUCC
rnacentral:rRNA from 1 species